UUGUCCUCCAAAAGCGUCUGAAGGGUAUACCUUGCCAUACACAUGCAUUGAAAUUACCCACGUUUUAUUUAAUUGAAUUGAGAAAAAUUGCGUCGGUUUCUACGUCGUUUGUCACAAACACAUUUCCUGAGAAUUUCGGGGCUAAUUUUCGCAGCACAAUCGUUUUGAAGAAAUGGGAAAAUAAUGGUGGGAUAACUCCUUUUUGUGGCAGUAAUGUUGUCGCCACGAUUCAAAGGAAAGAAGCAAGCCUUUAACUCCAGCUGCCCGAGCGGAAAUGAGCGACAGGACCUAAACUAAAUACCUACAUCAGUGGCUUGGGCUCUUCAUAACCAAAUGCUUCAAGACAGAGAAAAGGAGUAAAAGCGGCAAUCUUUACAUGUGUUCAGUCGUUAGUCAAGGCUGACUCGUUAUAAAAACUAUUCUUUCGCACUUUUCGAGGACUGCGCAUCGCGUUAUGUCGGUCAUCGUCGGUCCCGGGGCUAUCUUGGGCCAGUUCCGGUCCCAGUUGACAUUUCGUCGAUCAUUAUAUUGACUGAUUUGGUUCCUACUUCACUCCAACGAUGUUCAACGCAUAGCAUUUCGAUAGAUUAAAUGUAAACAAUAAAACUGAAAGUACAAAAUUGCUAUGAGUCCCAGUU